CUACGGGUCGCUCCAGUGGGGAAUAUUGCACAAUGGGCGCAACCCUGAUGCAGCCAUGCCGCGUGUGUGAAGAAGGCCUUCGGGUUGUAAAGUACUUUCAGCGGGGAGGAAGGUAGUAUAGUUAACACCUGUGCUCAUUGACGUUACCCGCAGAAGAAGCACCGGCUAACUCCGUGCCAGCAGCCGCGGUAAUACGGAGGGUGCAAGCGUUAAUCGGAAUUACUGGGCGUAAAGCGCAUGCAGGCGGUUUGUUAAGUCAGAUGUGAAAGCCCCGGGCUUAACCUGGGAAUUGCAUUUGAACUGGUAGGCUAGAGUCUCGUAGAGGGGGGUAGAAUUUCAGGUGUAGCGGUGAAAUGCGUAGAGAUCUGGAGGAAUACCGGUGGCGAAGGCGGCCCCCUGGACGAAGACUGACGCUCAGGUGCGAAAGCGUGGGGAGCAAACAGGAUUAGAUACCCUCGUAGUC
rnacentral:rRNA from 1 species